rnacentral:rRNA from 1 species
GGUAGCCGGCCUGAGAGGGUGNCCGGCCACACUGGGACUGAGAUACGGCCCAGACUCCUACGGGAGGCAGCAGUGGGGAAUAUUGCACAANGGGCGNAAGCCUGAUGCAGCGACGCCGCGUGGGGGAUGANGGCCUUCGGGUUGUAAACCUCUUUCAWUAGGGACGAAGCGCARGUGACGGUACCUAURGAAGAAGCACCGGCCAACUACGUGCCNGCAGCCGCGGUAAUACGUAGGGUGCGAGCGUUGUCCGGAAUUACUGGGCGUAAAGAGCUCGUAKGUGGUUUGUCGCGUUGUCCGUGAAAUUUCACAACUCAAUUGUGAGCGUGCGGGCGAUACGGGCAGACUGGAGUACUGYAKGGGAGA